GCCCGCCGCCCCGCGCCGCCACCUGCGGGCCGCCCUCCAGGAUGCCCGCCGGCCACGUCCUAGUCGCCUGGAGCCGCGCCCCGCCUUCCUCGCCCGCGGCUGCCCCUGCACUUUUACCCACGCCGUGGGGCACAGAGAAGUAUCCGGGGUCAUAGAGGACAUUGGGAGGACUUGAAGAAGACUCAGACCAGAACCAAAGGUGUAAGGAAACUAAACCCUGCAAAACCUGAUUUCUCAUACUGGCAUAGACUUGACUUGAAGAGAUCAUCAAGUGUAUAGUGAAGAUUGGCUCAGGCAAGAAUCAUCCAUGAAUGCUUACUCUAGGGGGCUGUUACUGGCUGGCAGAUAUUUGUCUGGGUUGAUGUGUCUCCCCAUAGAUGGUUUAGACCUGUUAGUAGCAAAAGCGGAAAUAGUAACUAUACAAAGAGGCAGGCAGACAGCAUCUUAACCAGGUGAUCAAAAUUUACAUCACCAAUGAGAGCAGAUGGAUAUCAUGUCCACAUCAGCUAUGCAGUAUUCCUGGGGACAAUGCAUAACCUGAAUCAUGAUAGUGAAACAUCGGACAAACCCAAAAUGAGGAACAUCUAUUAAAAAGAGGAAGGGUCUGUAUUAUUCAAAAAUGUCAAGGUCAUUAAAAUCAAAAGAAAGCUUGGGAAAUGUUCCAGAUUAAAGGGUGCAAAAGAGUCAGGGCAGCUAAAUGCCAUGCCUGAUCCUAGACUGCAUCCUGUGCUAGAGGAGGGGAAAUACAUCACGGACAUUCCAGCUGACAAAAUCAGAAUCCAUGUAAGAGAUUAAAGUAUUGGAUCAAUGUUAAAUGUACUGAUGUUGAUAACUUCCACUGUAAUUAUGUACAAGAAUAUCUAAUUCUUGGGAAAUACACACUAAAGUAUCUUGAAAGGGUAAAGGUCAUAAUGUAUGCAGCUUACCUUCAAAUGAUUCAGGGGAAAAAAAAUCUUGAUAGGAAAAAAUGAUAAAGCCAAGUGGGCAAUAAAGGUAAGGUGCAUAUUAUCAGUGAAUCAGCAUAUAGAGUGUACUUGAACAUUUCUGUAAGUUUGAACUUAUUUCCAAAUAAAAAGAUUUGGAAAAAUCCA